rnacentral:rRNA from 1 species
CAGCCGCCGCGGUAAUACGUAGGGUGCAAGCGUUAAUCGGAAUUACUGGGCGUAAAGCGUGCGCAGGCGGUUCGUUAAGACAGAUGUGAAAUCCCCGGGCUUAACCUGGGAACUGCAUUUGUGACUGGCGAGCUAGAGUAUGGCAGAGGGGGGUAGAAUUCCACGUGUAGCAGUGAAAUGCGUAGAGAUGUGGAGGAAUACCGAUGGCGAAGGCAGCCCCCUGGGCCAAUACUGACGCUCAUGCACGAAAGCGUGGGGAGCAAACAGGAUUAGAUACCCGUGUAGUCCCUGUCUCUUAUAC